rnacentral:rRNA from 1 species
CCCUUAGAUGUUCUGGGCCGCACGUGCGCUACACUGAAGGGAUCAGCGUGUUUUCCCUUUCCGAGAGGAACGGGUAACCCGCUGAACCCCCUUCGUGGUAGGGAUCGGAGCUUGCAAUUGUUCUCCGUGAACCAGGAAUUCCCAGUAAGCGCAAGUCAUAAGCUUGCGUUGAUUACGUCCCUGCCCUUUGUACACACCGCCCGUCGCUACUACCGAUUGAACGUUUUAGUGAGGUAUUUGGACUGGGCCUUGGGAGGUUUCGGCCUCCCUUGUUGCUCGGAAAGACUCCCAAACUUGAGCGUUUAGAGGAAGUAAAAGUCGUAACA